ACAGUCACACAUUAGAUACCCGGGUAGUCCUAAGCCGUAAACGAUACUCGCUAGGUGUCGGCCACGGUGCGACCGUUGUCGGUGCCGUAGGGAAGCCGUGAAGCGAGCCGCCUGGGAAGUACGGCCGCAAGGCUGAGACUUAAAGGAAUUGGCGGGGAGCACCACAACGGGUGGAGCUUGCGGUUUAAUUGGAUUCAACGCCGGAAAUCUUACCGGGACCGACAGCAACAUGAAGGCCAGGCUGAAGACUUUGCCGGAUUAGCUG
rnacentral:rRNA from 1 species